UACGAGGGGGGCAAGCGUUGUUCGGAAUCAUUGGGCGUAAAGGGUGCGUAGGCGGUUUGGUAAGUCUUUUGUGAAAUCUACAGGCUCAACUUGUAGUCUGCAUGAGAAACUGCCGGGCUUGAGUAUGGGAGAGGUGAGUGGAAUUCCUGGUGUAGCGGUGAAAUGCGUAGAUAUCAGGAGGAACACCUGUGGCGAAAGCGGCUCACUGGACCAUAACUGACGCUGAUGCACGAAAGCUAGGGGAGCAAACAGG
rnacentral:rRNA from 1 species